UAAUACCGCAUAAGACCACGGGAUCACAUGGUUCUGGGGUAAAAGAUUUAUCGGUUUGGGGUGGGCUCGCGUCCGAUUAGGUAGUUGGUGAGGUAACGGCCCACCAAGCCGACGAUCGGUAGCCGACCUGAGAGGGUGAUCGGCCACAUUGGGACUGAGACACGGCCCAAACUCCUACGGGAGGCAGCAGUGGGAAUAUUGGGCAAUGGAGGAAACUCUGACCCAGCAACGCCGCGUGGAGGAAGAAGGUUUUCGGAUCGUAAACUCCUGUCCUUGGAGACGAGUAGAAGACGGUAUCCAAGGAGGAAGCCCCGGCUAACUACGUGCCAGCAGCCGCGGUAAUACGUAGGGGGCAAGCGUUGUCCGGAAUAAUUGGGCGUAAAGGGCGCGUAGGCGGCUCGGUAAGUCUGGAGUGAAAGUCCUGCUUUUAAGGUGGGAAUUGCUUUGGAUACUGUCGGGCUUGAGUGCAGGAGAGGUUAGUGGAAUCCCCAGUGUAGCGGUGAAAUGCGUAGAGAUUGGGAGGAACACCAGUGGCGAAGGCGACUAACUGGACUGUAACUGACGCUGAGGCGCGAAAGUGUGGGGAGCAAACAGGAUUAGAUACCCUGGUAGUCCACACUGUAAACGAUGAAUGCUAGGUGUAGGGGGUAUCGACCCCUUCUGUGCCGCAGUCAACACAAUAAGCAUUCCGCCUGGGGAGUACGGCCGCAAGGUUGAAACUCAAAGGAAUUGACGGGGGCCCGCACAAGCAGCGGAGCAUGUGGUUUAAUUCGACGCAACGCGAAGAACCUUACCAGGUCUUGACAUCCACUUAAACUUACAGAGAUGUAAGGUGUGCUUGCACAAAGUGAGACAGGUGGUGCAUGGUUGUCGUCAGCUCGUGUCGUGAGAUGUUGGGUUAAGUCCCGCAACGAGCGCAACCCUUAUCUUCAGUUACUAACGCGUGAGGGUGAGGACUCUGAAGAGACUGCCGGGGACAACUCGGAGGAAGGUGGGGACGACGUCAAAUCAUCAUGCCCCUUAUGACCUGGGCUACACGCGUGCUACAAUGGCCACGACAGAGAGAAGCGAAAUCGCAAGGUAGAGCGGAACUCAAAAAAGUGGUCCCAGUUCGGAUUGUGGGCUGCAACCCGCCCACAUGAAGUCGGAGUUGCUAGUAAUCGCGGAUCAGCAUGCCGCGGUGAAUACGUUCCCGGGCCUUGUACACACCGCCCGUCACACCAUGGGAGUUGGGAGUGCCCAAAGCCGGUGAGGCAACCGCAAGGAGCCAGCCGUCUAAGGCAAGACCAAUGACUGGGGUGAAGUCGGAACAAGGUA
rnacentral:rRNA from 1 species